ACCCCGGGAAACUGGGGAUAAUUCCGGAUAACGCACAUAUGCUGGAAUGCUUUUUGCGUAAAAUGGAUUCGUCUGCCCAAGGAUGGGUCUGCGGCCUAUCAGGUAGUAGUGGGUGUAAUGUACCUACUAGCCUACGACGGGUACGGGUUGUGAGAGCAAGAGCCCGGAGAUGGAUUCUGAGACAUGAAUCCAGGCCCUACGGGGCGCAGCAGGCGCGAAAACUUUACAAUGCGGGAAACCGUGAUAAGGGGACACCGAGUGCCAGCAUCCUAUGCUGGCUGUCCGGGUGUGUAAAAUACACCUGUUAGCAAGGGCCGGGCAAGACCGGGGCCAGCCGCCGCGGUAACACCGGCGGCCCGAGUGGUGAUCGUGAUUAUUGGGUCUAAAGGGUCCGUAGCCGGUUUGGUCAGUCCUCCGGGAAAUCUGACAGCUCAACUGUUAGGCUAUCGGAGGAUACUGCCAGACUUGGAACCGGGAGAGGUAAGAGGUACUACAGGGGUAGGAGUGAAAUCUUGUAAUCCCUGUGGGACCACCUGUGGCGAAGGCGUCUUACCAGAACGGGUUCGACGGUGAGGGACGAAAGCUGGGGGCACGAACCGGAUUAGAUACCCGGGUAGUCCCAGCCGUAAACGAUGCUCGCUAGGUGUCAGGCAUGGCGCGACCGUGUCUGGUGCCGCAGGGAAGCCGUGAAGCGAGCCACCUGGGAAGUACGGCCGCAAGGCUGAAACUUAA
rnacentral:rRNA from 1 species